AAGAGGGACCGCUUAGAAAAUAAUAUAACCAAAAUAUUAUAAAUAUGUAGCGGUGGCAGAAAAUCGGAGGCCCCGACUGUUUCCUAAAAACACAACACAGUGCAAUGAUUAAUAUCAUAGUAUACUGUGUGAAAUUUGCCCAAUGCCAUUAACAUAAGAGAGGUAAUAGGUAACUGUUACUAAUCGAAAGUCUGGUUAAUAGCGGUCUUAACUAUGAGGAUCCAAAGGUAGCAAAAUAAAUUGGCCAUUAAAUGUGGUCCGGUAUCAAUAAUGUAACGAUGGCCUCACUGUCUCUACAACUUGCUCAGUGAAAUUGAAUUAGCCGUGCAGAUGCGGCUUACCUCCAGUGGGACGGGAA
rnacentral:rRNA from 1 species